UUCCGCUUGAUCCUGCCGGACCCGACUGCUAUCAGAGUGGGACUAAGCCAUGCGAGUCAACGUAGAAAUACGUGGCGAACGGCUCAGUAACACGUAGUCAACAUGCCCAGAGGACGUGGAUAACCUCGGGAAACUGAGGAUAAACCGCGAUAGGUCAUGAUUUCUGGAAUGGUUUAUGGCUGAAAUCUAUAUGGCCUCUGGAUUGGACUGCGGCCGAUCAGGCUGUUGGUGAGGUAAUGGCCCACCAAACCUGUAACCGGUACGGGCUCUGAGAGGAGGAGCCCGGAGAUGGGCACUGAGACAAGGGCCCAGGCCCUAUGGGGCGCAGCAGGCGCGAAAUCUCUGCAAUAGGCGAAAGCUUGACAGGGUUACUCUGAGUGAUUCCCGCUAAGGGGAUCUUUUGGCACCUCUAAAAAUGGUGCAGAAUAAGGGGUGGGCAAGUCUGGUGUCAGCCGCCGCGGUAAUACCAGCACCCCGAGUGGUCGGGACGAUUAUUGGGCCUAAAGCAUCCGUAGCCGGUACUGCAAGUCUUCCGUUAAAUCCACCUGCUCAACAGUUGGGCUGCGGAGGAUACUACAGCGCUAGGAGGCGGGAGAGGCAAGCGGUACUCAUUGGGUAGGGGUAAAAUCCACUGAUCCAUUGAAGACCACCAGUGGCGAAGGCGGCUUGCCAGAACGCGCUCGACGGUGAGGGAUGAAAGCUGGGGGAGCAAACCGGAUUAGAUACCCGGGUAGUCCCAGCUGUAAACGAUGCAGACUCGGUGAUGGGCUGGCCUUGUGCCAACCCAGUGCCGCAGGGAAGCCGUUAGUCUGCCGCCUGGGGAGUACGG
rnacentral:rRNA from 1 species